rnacentral:rRNA from 1 species
GACGAACGCUGGCGGCGUGCUUAACACAUGCAAGUCGUGCGGUAAGGCCCUUUCGGGGGUACACGAGCGGCGAACGGGUGAGUAACACGUGGGUGACCUGCCCUCAGCUCUGGGAUAAGCCCGGGAAACUGGGUCUAAUACCGGAUAUGACUCCAUGACGCAUGUUGUGGGGUGGAAAGCCUUGUGCGGCUGAGGAUGGGCCCGCGGCCUAUCAGCUUGUUGGGUGGGGUGAUGGCCACCAAGGCGACGACGGGUAGCCGGCCUGAGAGGGCGACCGGCCACACUGGGACUGAGAUACGGCCCAGACUCCUACGGGAGGCAGCAGGUGGGGAAUCUUGCGCAAUGGGCGAAAGCCUGACGCAGCGACGCCGCGUGAGGGAUGACGGCCU